rfam:Phaseolus vulgaris cultivar G19833 chromosome 6, whole genome shotgun sequence.
AGGUGCGAUCAUACCAGCACUAAUGCACCGGAUCCCACCAGAACUCCGCAAUGAAGCGUGCUUGGCGAGAGUAGCACUAGGAUGGGUGACCUCCUGGGAAGUUCUCCUGUUGCACUUC